rnacentral:rRNA from 1 species
AAUCAAGUGGAGGACAAGUCUGGUGCCAGCACCCGCGGUAAUUCCAGCUCCACUAGCGUAUAUUAAAGUUGUUGCAGUUAAAAAGCUCGUAGUUGAACCUCUGUCUGGGGCUAGUUUUGGCUUUGGUCAGGCUAGUUCUAGGCAUCCGCCUACAAGACUUAGAGGGCAUUCAGUUGUUCACUAGGAGGAGUAGGCAUUUUACUUUGAAAAAAUUAGAGUGUUUAAGGCAGGCAAUCGCCCGCAUAUAUUAGCAUGGAAUAAUAGAAUAGGACACUUUUCCAUUUCGUUGGUUAUUGGAAUCGUGUAAUGAUUAAUAGGGACAGUUGUGGGCAUUUGUAUUUAAUUGUCAGAGGUGAAAUUCUUGGAUUUAUUAAAGACAAACUAACGCGAAAGCAUUUGCCAAGGAUGUUUUCAUUAAUCAAGAACGAAAGUUAGGGGAUCAAAGACGAUCAGAUACCGUCCUAGUCUUAACUAUAAACUAUUCCGACUCAAUGUUUGACUGGCUUAUAUAACCAGUUGAGCGUUGUAUGAGAAAUCUAAGUCUUUAGGUUCUGGGGGGAGUAUGGUUGCAAAGCUGAAACUUAAAGGAAUUGACGGAAGAGCACAACCAGGAGUGGAUUCUGCGGCUUAAUUUGACACAACACGGGGAAACUUACCAGGUUAAAACAAUAGUGGGAUUGACAGUUUGAGAGCGCUUUCUUGAUUGGUUGGGUGGUGGUGCAUGGCCGUUCUUAGUUGGUGGAGUGAUUCGUCUGCUUAAUUGCGUUAACGAACGAGACCUUAACCUGCUUACUAGACUGGCGAUCAUCAAUCGUUAGCUCUUCUUAGAGGGACUUUGGUUGUUUUAACUCCAAGGAAGUUUGAGGCAAUAACAGGUCUGUGAUGCCCUUAGAUAUCCUGGGCCGCACGCGUCAUACAAUGACUAGUUCAGAAAGUUUUCUCCUGACCCGAAAGGGGAUGGGUAAUCUUGAUAAUACUAGUCGUGUUAGGGAUCGAUCUUUGCAAUUAUAGAUCUUGAACGAGGAAUUCCUAGUAAGUGCGGUUCAUCAGACCGUACUGAUUACGUCCCUGCUCUUUGUACACACCGCCCGUCGCUUCUACCGAGUGGGUGGUCCGGUGAGAUAAUUGAACUUCGCAGGUAACUGAGAGGAAAGAUUAUCAAACCUAUCCACCU